rnacentral:tRNA from 2 species
GCGUCAUUGGUCUAGGGGUUAGGAUUCAACUCUUCCAUGCUUUUAUUGAAAAGUUGAGGCCCGGAUUCGAGUUCCGGAUGACGCA